CACAGUGGCGCGCCGUUCCGAGCAAUGAGACUGCAGGCACAGGUGCGGCCGGAUUCUCUGUCGCUGUCCCGCGCUGAGUGAAUUUUGCCUCGGAGCUGGUCCGAGGUCGCGCCUGCUCUUUUGUGUGCCCAAGGCAGAUUUCCAGAAGUAGAAAUCUGUCUUCUAACUCUAAGGCCUUGGGAGAUGAAGGAUCCGUGAUUCAAAGGCAGAAAUAGAUGGAGUCUUGCUGUGUUCUCCAGGAUUGAGUACAGUGGCUAUUCACAGAUGUGAUCAUACUACACUACAGCCUCAAACUCCCGGGGUCAAGCAGUCCUCCUGCUUCAGCCUCCUGAGGAGCUGGGACUACAGGCCCACAUCACCAUGCCCACUAGAUUCACAGUCAUUUUGCUUGUGGAAGGUCUUGCCUCAAUGUUGAUAGGUGCUGACUGAUCAGGGUCAGGUUGCUGACUGAUCAGAAUGGUAGUUUCUGAAUGUUGGGAAUGGCUAUGGCAAUUUCUUAAAAUAAGACAACAAUGAAGUUUGCUGCAUUGAUUGACUCCAUAUCACAAAGGAUUUCUCCAUAUCAUGCAAUGCUGUUUGAUAGCAUUUUACCCAUAGUAGAACUUCUUUCAAAAUUGGAGUCAAUUCUCUCAAACCUUGUCUCUGCUUGGUCAACUAAGUUUAUGCACUAUUCCACAUCCUUUGUUGUCAUUUCAACAAUAUUUACAGAGUCUUCACCAUGAAUAGAUUCCUUUUCAAACAACCACUUUCUUUGCUCAGCCAUAAGAAGCAACUCUUCACCCAUUCAAGUUUUAUCAUGAGAUUGCAGCAAUUCAGUCACAUCAAAUUCCACUUCUAAUUCUAGUUGUUUUUCUAUUUCCACCACAUCUGCAGGUACUUUCUCCGCAGAAAUUUCAAACCUCUCAAAGUCAUCCGUGAGGGUUGGAAUCAACUUCCAAAUUUCUGUGAAUGUUGAUAUUUUGACCUCCUCCUAAUCACAAAUGUUCUUAAUGGCAUCUAGAAUGGUGAAUCUUUUCCAGAAGGUUUUCUAUGUGCUUUGCCCAGUUCCAUCAGAAGAAUCACUGUCUGUGGUAGCUCUAGCCUUAUUAAAUGUAUAUUUUAAAUAAUAACACCUAAAAAUCAAAAUGACUCCUUGAUCCAUGGGCUGUAGAAUAGACAUUGUGUUAGCAGUCAUGAAAACAAGAUUAAUCUCAUAUAGCACCAUUAUAGCUCUUGGGUGACCACGUGCAUUGUCAAUGACCAGUAAUAUUUUGAAAGAACACUUUUUUUUUUGAGCAGUAGGUCUGAACAGUGGACUUAAAAUAUUCAGAAAGCUGUGUUGUAAACAGAUGUGCUGCCAGCUAGGCAUCGUUGUUCCAUUUAUAGAGCACUGGUAGAGCAGGUUUAGCAUAAUUUGUCAGGACCCUAGGAUUUUUGGAAUGGUAAAUGGGCACUGGCUUCAACUUCAAGUCACCAACUGCAUUAACUCCUAACAAGAAGAGUCAGCCUGUCCUUGAAAGUUUGAAAACAGGCAUGGACUUCUCCUCUCUAGCUAUGAAAGUCUUAGAUGGCAUCUUCUUCCAAUAGAAGUUGUUUCAUGUACAUUGAAAAUCUGUUGUUUGGUGUAGCCACCCUCUUUGAUGAUCUUAGCUAGAUCUUCUGGAUAACUUGCUACAGUUUCUACAUCAGCACUUGUUGCCUUACCUUACACUUUUAUGUUAUGGAGAUAGCUUCUUUCCUUAAACCACAGGAAUGAACCUCUGCUAUCUUCUAGAUUUUCUUGGGCAACUUCCUUACUUCUUUCAGCUUUCAUAGAACUGAAUAGUGUUAGGAUCUUGCUCUGGGUUAGGUUUUGGCUUAAGGGAAUGUGGUAGCUGGUUUGAUUUAUUUAGACCACUAAAACUUUCUUCAUAUCAGCAUUAAGGCUGGUUUGCUUUAUUAUCAUUUAUGUGUUCACUGGAGUAGCACUUUAAAUUUCCUCCAAGCUUGUUUGCUUUUCAUUCACAAUGUGGCUGUUUGGUGCCAAGAGGCCUAGCUUCCCAGUCUUGGCUUUCAACAUGCCUUCCUCACUAAGCAUAGUCAUUUCUAGCUAUUUAUUUAAAGUUAGAGAUGUGCAACUCUUCUUUCACUUGAACACGUAGAGGCUAUUGUAGGGUUAUUACUUGGCUUAAUUUCAAUAUUGUUGUGUCUGGAGGAAUAGAGAGGCCUGGGGACACAAAGAGAAAUGGGGAACAGCUGGUCACUGGAGCAGUGAGAACACACGCAACAUUUAUUGAUUAAAUUCGCUGUUUUAUGGGCUCGGUUCAUGGUGCUCCAAAACAAUUAUAAUAGUAACAUCAAACAUCACUGUUCACAGGUCACCAUAACAGAUAUAAUGAUAAUGAUAAUAAUAAUAAUGUUUGAAAUAUUGCGAGAAUUACCAAAAUGUGACUCAGAGAAACAACAAAGUGAGCACAUGCUGUUGGAAAAAUGGUACUGAUAGACUUGAUCCAUGCAGGGUUGCCACAAACGAUUAAUUUGCAAAAAAAACAAACAAAAGAACAUGCAGUAUCUGUGAAGCACAAUAAAGCAUACUGCAAAUAAAAUGUGUGCCUGUCCUGUAUUAACUUUGUUACUAUUUAAUCUAGCAUUUCCCAAAAUGUGUUUCUUGGAAUACAACUAGUCUUAUGAUUCCCCUAACCUGAACUGGUUCUCUGGGAAUGCACCCACAGGAGGAUAGGUCCUUGGGUGAUCUUGGCCAAUCCAGCUCUCCCUGCAACUUGUAGUUCUCAGAAUAACCGAGAAUGCAACUUUCUGAGAUAGAGAGGUAAUGUCCAGAAUAAUCCAUAUUGUGUCCUUGUUCCUCCCAGAACAGGGUGUACUGCAGCGCUUGUUCUCAGUGAUCCUAGUGCCACCUAGAGUAUAAAACCCAGAGCACAGUGCUUUCAGUGUCCCUCAGCUGCAGUGGGAUGUGGAGCACACACAGAUAAGACCCUUUCCACACUCAGCAGCUUUCUUGAGCCUUAGAGGACUGGCUUGCUGUGGAUCCUAGGCUUCUAUUUAUUCCUGCUGCUCAUCUAUCUGUGCAUAGUAAAUCUUUGUCUAGCCUGUGUGAGUGUUCUGUCUCUCUCACCAGACUCAUGCGAUUGGUAGAGAACCUUUGCGACAAUUUUGGGAGACAUGUAAAAUAUAUCCUUGGUGAAAAAUCCCAAAAUAUAUUUGCAUAUUAAGUGUUUAGAGAAGGUUUUCUGUACCUAUUACUUAAACCUAUUGAACUUUUCUAUAGUCCAGUACUUCUUGAAGUGUCAGCUUAGCCAAUUCCCAUUUUCUGUGAGUUGCUUACUCCUCUAUUCACCCACAGGAGGGAUUCCUAAAGCUGUACCUAUUCUGUGGGACUUUACCUCUACCUGGUCUCAGUUUAUUGGAUUAAGGUUGAACACCUAAACCAAAGAGACCCAAUUAAUAAGCUGAAGUAAAGAGCAUCAUGUUCUCUUUGGACACUGGACAGAUGGAUGUUGAUGAGCUUGUGUGCAGCACUUCUACUGGAAGUAUGUACAAGGGGCUCAGCCAGCCAAUUUGGACGGUGUAUGUGAUAAGCAGAGAAAGGCAGCAGUCUGCAGAGACUGCAGAAUGAAAAAAAAAAAAAAAGCAGAAACCCAGAGAGAAAUCAGACAAAAGACCAGGUGGUGGGCAGGGGUCUGGGGAUUAUCCAAGCUUAAAAUUCAGGGUCUCUAAACUUGAACAGGCUGAUUUCAAAGCUGUGGGCCUAGCAAUGUGUUCACAUAGCAAUUUGGCUUUGUAAAAUUUAUAAAAGUAAGAUAUUUUAACCAC